UACGGAGGGAGCUAGCGUUAUUCGGAAUUACUGGGCGUAAAGCGCACGUAGGCGGCUUUGUAAGUAAGAGGCGAAAAGCCCAGGGCUUAACCCUGGAAUUGCCUUCAAGACUGCAUCGCUAGAAUUGUGGAGAGGUAAGUGGAAUUCCGAGUGUAGAGGUGAAAUUCGUAGAUAUUCGGAAGAACACCAGUGGCGAAGGCGACUUACUGGACACAUAUUGACGCUGAGGUGGCGAAAAGCGUGGGGAGCAACAGG
rnacentral:rRNA from 1 species